rnacentral:rRNA from 1 species
CCCUUAGAUGUCCUGGGCCGCACGCGCGCUACACUGAGUGUCUGAGAUACGAGUCUGCCUGGUCCGGCAAGGUCUAGGUAAUCGCUAAAAGACACAUCAUGCUUGGGAUAGAUUAUUGCAAAUAUUAAUCUUGAACGAGGAAUUCCUAGUAAGCGCAAGUCAACAGCUUUCGUUGAUUACGUCCCUGCCCUUUGUACACACCGCCCGUCGCUACUACUGAUUGGAUGUUUAAGCGAGGUUCUCGAACUGCUAGCGACUUAGCUUCGGUGAGGUCGCAGUGUGGGAAGUGAACCUAGCUUUGGUGUCUAGAGGAAGUAAAAGUCGUAACA